rnacentral:rRNA from 1 species
AUGCUCAUGAAGAUAGGGUGCGACGCGUGCGGGCAGGCGGAGGCCGCGGUGCUGUGCUGCGCCGACGAGGCCGCGCUGUGCCGCCGCUGCGACGCCGCCGUGCACUCCGCCAACAAGCUCGCCGGCAGGCACCACCGCGUCGCGCUCCUCUCCUCAACGCCCGCCGGCUCGUCGUCGCCCGGCGCCGGCGACGACGGCGGGAGCCACCCCGCCUGCGACAUCUGCCAGGAGAAAACAGGCUACUUCUUCUGUGUAGAGGACAGAGCCCUCCUGUGCCGAAGCUGCGACGUUGCCAUCCACACCGCAACUCCCAAUGCUUCCACCCACCGCCGAUUCCUCAUCACCGGCGUCCGCGUCGGUGCUGAUCAGGACCAUAUCGGCGAUGUCAGUGGCGCCACGGUCGGCAGCCCCAGCAACAGCAGCGCCAACGGAAGCAAUAACAUGCCCACCUCCGAGAACUUCGCCAUUGCCAACGACCAGCGGUCGGAGGAGGGGGUGGGGCUGAUCGGAGGAGGAGAAGACGACAUUGGCCAGCAGCAGCAAUGGCCUUGGAGCGAUAUUUUUGCUGAUGAUGGUGUUGGCAUGGAUCAACACCAGUGCUACCCUGGCUUCUCUGAACCUGGUUCCUCCAGCCUCACUGGAUGA